GACGAACGCUGGCGGCGUGCUUAAUACAUGCAAGUCGAGCGAGGCCCAUCCAGUGGCAACACUGGGGAAGGCCGAGCGGCGAACGGGUGAGUAACACGUGAGCAACCUGCCCCGAAGUCUGGAAUAACAUCGGGAAACCGGUGCUAAUACCGGAUUGCCCCACCUGACCGCAUGAUCGGGUGAGGAAAGAUUUAUCGCUUCGGGAGGGGCUCGCGGCCUAUCAGCUUGUUGGGGGGUGAUGGCCUACCAAGGCGACGACGGGUAGCCGGCCUGAGAGGGCGACCGGCCACACUGGGACUGAGACACGGCCCAGACUCCUACGGGAGGCAGCAGUGGGGAAUCUUGCGCAAUGGGCGAAAGCCUGACGCAGCGACGCCGCGUGAGGGAUGACGGCCU
rnacentral:rRNA from 1 species